UUCCGUAGGUGAACCUGCGGAAGGAUCAUUAAUUG
rnacentral:rRNA from 1 species